rnacentral:rRNA from 1 species
UACGUAGGGGGCUAGCGUUGCUCGGAAUCACUGGGCGUAAAGCGCACGUAGGCGGAUUGUUAAGUCAGGGGUGAAAUCCUGGAGCUCAACUCCAGAACUGCCUUUGAUACUGGCGAUCUCGAGUCCGGGAGAGGUGAGUGGAACUGCGAGUGUAGAGGUGAAAUUCGUAGAUAUUCGCAAGAACACCAGUGGCGAAGGCGGCUCGCUGGCCCGGUACUGACGCUGAGGUGCGAAAGCGUGGGGAGCAAACAGG